GAUGAACGCUGGCGGCGUGCCUAAUACAUGCAAGUCGAACGAGGUGCUUGAGUAGCAAUACGAGAGUAUCCUAGUGGCGAACGGGUGAGUAACGCGUUGGUGACCUACCCCAAAGUGUGGGAUAACAGUCCGAAAGGAUUGCUAAUACCGCAUGUGGUCUUCGGGUUUAGAAACCGAUGACGAAAGCAGCAAUGCGCUUUGGGAGGGACCUGCGUCCCAUCAGCAGUUGGUGAGGUAACGGCUCACCAAGGCGACGACGGGUAGGGGACCUGAGAGGGGUGACCCCCA
rnacentral:rRNA from 1 species